AAAUGAUGAAAUCACCCAAGACAGGUGGAACUACCCACAGAUUGUGUAGUGGUGAACCUACAGUUUUCUGGGG
ensembl:snoRNA